rnacentral:rRNA from 1 species
GACGGAAGGUGCAAGCGUUGCUCGGAAUCACUGGGCGUAAAGGGUGCGUAGGCGGCCGUGCAAGUCUGGCGUGAAAGCCCCGGGCUCAGCCCGGGAAGUGCGCUCGAAACUGCGCGGCUCGAGUGCCGGAGGGGAGAGUGGAAUUCCUGGUGUAGCGGUGAAAUGCGUAGAUAUCAGGAGGAAUACCGGUGGCGAAGGCGCUCAUCUGGCCCAAUACUGACGCUGAAGCGCGAAAGCUAGGGGAGCAAACGGG